rnacentral:rRNA from 1 species
CAGCAGCCGCGGUAAUACGAAGGGUGCAAGCGUUACUCGGAAUUACUGGGCGUAAAGCGUGCGUAGGUGGUUGUUUAAGUCUGCUGUGAAAGCCCUGGGCUCAACCUGGGAAUUGCAGUGGAUACUGGGAGACUAGAGUAAGGUAGAGGAUAGUGGAAUUUCCGGUGUAGCAGUGAAAUGCGUAGAGAUCGGAAGGAACAUCUGUGGCGAAGGCGACUAUCUGGGCCAUUACUGACACUGAGGCACGAAAGCGUGGGGAGCAAACAGGAUUAGAUACCCCUGUAGUCCCUGUCUCUUAUAC